UACGUAGGGGGCAAGCGUUGUCCGGAUUUAUUGGGCGUAAAGAGCGUGUAGGCGGUUUGGUAGGUCCGUUGUGAAAACUCGAGGCUCAACCUCGAGACGCCGAUGGAAACCCUCAGACUAGAGUCCGGAAGAGGAGAGUGGAAUUCCUGGUGUAGCGGUGAAAUGCGCAGAUAUCAGGAAGAACACCCGUGGCUAAGGCGGCUCUCUAGUACGGUACUGACGCUGAGACGCGAAAGCGUGGGGAGCGAACAGG
rnacentral:rRNA from 1 species